rnacentral:rRNA from 1 species
GAUGAACGCUAGCUACAGGCUUAACACAUGCAAGUCGAGGGGCAGCAUGUCGGUUGCUUGCAACCGAUGAUGGCGACCGGCGCACGGGUGAGUAACGCGUAUCCAACCUACCCUUGUCCAUCGGAUAACCCGUCGAAAGGCGGCCUAACACGAUAUGCGGUUCUCAGCAGGCAUCUAACGAGAACGAAAUGUGAAGGAGAAGGAUGGGGAUGCGUCUGAUUAGCUUGUUGGCGGGGUAACGGCCCACCAAGGCGACGAUCAGUAGGGGUUCUGAGAGGAAGGUCCCCCACAUUGGAACUGAGACACGGUCCAAACUCCUACGGGAGGCAGCAGUGAGGAAUAUUGGUCAAUGGACGGGAGUCUGAACCAGCCAAGUAGCGUGCAGGACGACGGCCCUAUGGGUUGUAAACUGCUUUUAUAGGGGGAUAAAGUGUGCCACGUGUGGCAUAUUGCAGGUACCCUAUGAAUAAGGACCGGCUAAUUCCGUGCCAGCAGCCG